GAGCACGUCUAUUUUAUAGUAGCAUUACCACCUUAUUGUCCAGUAAAUAGUUAAGUAUUUUAUGCAUAAGAUCUCAAUGGGACUUGGCUAUAAUCAUUUAAAAGGAUCGGUGUUGACCGAAGAUAUUGCUCAGUUGGUAGAGCUACGCUUGCCUAACACCUGGGUCUGUUCCCAGGGCCACAGUACUGAGCUGGUAGUAAAUCCCUAUUGUCCCAAUACUCAAGAUGUCUCAAAGGCAGGAGAAUCAGAAACUCAAGGCCAUCCUUAGCAAUGUCAUUUCAGGUUAGCCUGGGCUACCUGAGACCAGGUCAUUCCCAUACAUAUAGGUAAAGGCUUAAAAAUAAUAAAAAUGAGAGUAAAUAUCAAAAUGAGAGUAAACAUAUUGAAAGUAAAAAUGGAAAGAAGUAAAAAUGCUAAGUGAUCUAUUAAUAUUAAGGAGAAGCAAUAACAAAUGAAAAAAAUUUAGAUAUACUUUGAGAUGUUUAGAAAAGGGGAGUCAAGAGGCAAAAUAUAACUGACUCUGUAGUCCACUACUUAGUUUUUAAUAUUAAGCUGACACUGAACAGGGUAAUUAAAACAACUGAUCGUGAGUUGUCCAUCCAUUCUGGAUAGGAUUGCUCACAUCCCAAAAACCUAAAUGAGAGGCAAGACAUUAGGCUUCAGAUGUAGCCAUUUCAGAAAAAAAGCUCAGUGAUUGACUACCUUCUGUGAGGGACCCAGUCAUUGCCUUCAGUGAGAAUGUAAAGUGACUUCUAAGAAAGCCACCCAAACUAUCUAAAAAAUCAGAGCUAUUUUGUUUCUUCCCUAUGCAGCACAGCAGUUGGCAUUUCACUCAUUUAUUUUGCUAACUACUGUAUGGCAGUUGGCUACUUAGAAAGCAUUUUAAACAAGUGCAUAACAGGAAUUAUGUGUGAGAACCUUGGUGUGGUGUCUGUGUUUACACAUGAGAAGAACUAUUAUAAAAUAUGCCCAUGUGCUUACAUAUGUGGUCUGCCUCUUUGUCUGAGAGAGAAGAUAAGAACCACUGUUGUAGAUGUAGCGUGUGAGCGGUUGGUUCAUGCUCUCACAGGCUCUCCCUAAGCGAUGCUGUAGAAAGCCCAGAGUCGUUUCUCUUCUUAGACAAACACAAACAGUACCCAGGAGUCAGGACAUGUGGGAGCAUCGUAGGAAUGAAUGAGGUGGCAUAAAGUUUGCACUUGUAGCACAGCGCUUUGAAGAUGGUGAACUCAAAACCACUCUUCUUUCAAAGGUUUUGAUCCCCUUCUUAAAUUCUCUAGUUGGCUGCCUCUGUAAGCCCGAAGAAAUCACUACAUCUUCUUGACUCUCGGUUUCCCUCUCUAUAAGAGGUGAUGAUACCUCUGGCAUUAUCUCCUAGGUUGCAUAAUAUUAAACAUAUUCAAUACAAGGCAAAGCCUUUCUUUCCUCUUAGGAUGGAUUUCCCAGCUACUUAUUAUUUAUUCCUGUUCUAUCUGACGUUAUUUAUAACACGUGUUUAGGAACAUAUUAACUCAUUCAAUCCUCUAUCACUUUGGGGAACUCGGGCUGGUUAUGAGCAUCCACAUUUUGGGUGGCAUACCAUGGAAGGAUGGCAGGUGCUUCCUCAGGUCUCAAGCGAGGCUUCUUUAGAUUCUAUUUUGAACAGAAACAAAUUCAAAUCUAAGUUAUACAGAAAUGCGGUUUUUGAGGCAAGUCCUAGAAAUACAUAGAUGGCAUUUUAGUCAUGCUGUCACAAACCCCAGUUGUCACAGUCAGCCGCUCAAACACAAAGGCCUUACUGAUUUGACACUUCCCGGACAAAACAAAACAAAACAAG
rnacentral:lncRNA from 1 species